rnacentral:rRNA from 1 species
UUGACCUCAAAUCAGGUAGGACUACCCGCUGAACUUAAGCAUAUCAAUAAGCGGAGGAAAAGAAACUAACAAGGAUUCCCCUAGUAACUGCGAGUGAAGCGGGAAAAGCUCAAAUUUAAAAUCUGGCGGUCCUCGCGGCCGUCCGAGUUGUAAUCUGGAGAAGCGUUUUCCGCGUCGGACCGUGUACAAGUCUUCUGGAAUGGAGCGUCGUAGAGGGUGAGAAUCCCGUCUCUGACACGGACCGCCGAUGCUUUUGUGAUACGCUCUCGAAGAGUCGAGUUGUUUGGGAAUGCAGCUCAAAACGGGUGGUAAAUUCCAUCUAAAGCUAAAUAUUGGCGAGAGACCGAUAGCGAACAAGUACCGUGAGGGAAAGAUGAAAAGCACUUUGGAAAGAGAGUUAAACAGUACGUGAAAUUGUUGAAAGGGAAACGUUUGAAGUCAGUCGCGUCGGCCGAGACUCAACCCUGCGAUCUCGCUCGGUGCACUUCUCGGUCGACGGGUCAGCAUCAAUUUCGACCGUCGGAUAAAGGCCGAGGGAAUGUGGCAUCCUUCGGGGUGUGUUAUAGCCUUCGGUUCGGAUACGACGAUUGGGAUUGAGGAACUCAGCACGCCUUCAUCGGUCGGGGCUUCGGCUCACGUUAACGUGCUUAGGAU